AUUUUUAAGAAGUUAACUUGCUUGACUAGGUCUUGUAAAAUUCUAGAUAAAGCUGAUAAUGACAACUUUAUAUCUAUAGGUCUCGACCAAAUCUUGUGCCAGCAGUCGCGGUAAGACAAGGGAGACGAGUGUUAUUCAUCUUUAUUAGGUAUAUAGGGUACCUAGACUGUGUGAUAUGGCCUUAAAACGGUACCUUUUACACUAGAGUUUGUUAUGUGAGAGGUAGAUGUCAGAAUUAUUGGUGGAGAGAUGAAAUGUUUUGAUACCUCUAGGACGGAUAAUGGCGAAUGCAAACCUUUAUGUACAUAUAUAUUAAUAACUAGAUGGCGUAAAUAAAACUUCUAGGUUGUUAAUAACUGACGUUGAGGGACGAAGGCUCAGACAGUGAAGAGGAUUAGAUACCCCCGUAGCCUGGGCAGACAAUGAUGAGUGUCAUAGAUUGGUUUUAAGCUGAACUAUAAAUGAAAGUGUAAGCACUCCACCUCAAGAGUAAUGUGGCAACGCAGGAACUGAAAUCAUUAGACCGUUUCUGAAACCAGUAGUGAAGUAUGUUGUUUAAUUCGAUGUUCCACGAAGAACCUUACCACAAUUUGAAUGAUCUAAAUAUAUUUUUAUUUAGACCACAUGCGUUGCAUGGCUGUCUUCAGUUAAUGUCGUGAGAUUUGGUUAACUCCAUUAAAUUAACGAAAACCCUUGCUUUAUUUAAAAAUAAUAAAGUAGCACACCGCUAUAAU
rnacentral:rRNA from 1 species